GACGAACGCUGGCGGCGCGCCUAACACAUGCAAGUCGAGCGAAGCGGCGGACGGGUGAGUAACACGUGAGUAACCCGUCUUAGACAUAGGGAUAGUCGCGGGAAACCGGGAUUCAUACUAAAUGGGCUAAGAUGGACUCGCGUCCCAUUAGCUGGUUGGUGAGGUAACGGCCCACCAAGGCGACGAUGGGUAGCCGGCCACAGAGGUUGGCCGGCCACUUUGACACUGGGAAACAGUCCUAACUCUACGGAAGGCAGCAGAGUGGGAUAUUGCACAAUGGAGGGAGUUCUGAUGCGGCGCGGCCGCGAGAACGAAGAUGGCUUUCGAGUCGUAAAGUUUUUUUAUAUGGGAGGCGGUACCAUAAGAAAAAGCCCCGGCUAACUACGUGCCAGCAGCCGCGGUAAUUC
rnacentral:rRNA from 1 species